rfam:Tetraodon nigroviridis, WGS project CAAE01000000 data, contig: CNS0BYO8, chromosome: 2
GGUAGCGUGGCCGAGCGGUCUAAGGCGCUGGAGUAAGGUUCCAGUCUCUUCGGAGGCGUGGGUUCGAAUCCCACCGUUGCCA